CGCUCCCGUGGCGCCGUGGGAAAGCGCGCUGGUUUCUGCCAAAUGCAGUUAGCUUUGCUUCGCUUCCCUAAGUGCGUUCCCCCAGGGGCCCGGCAGUGUGCUAGGGGCACCCUGCUUCGUAAGUGAGGCAGACAGCCCGUGAUAAAUGCCAAAGUAGAAGCCCCUCCGAAAAAUUAAGGAGCCGAUUGGGCGGGACUAACCCUAAGGGAGGGCAGGGGAAGCGACCGUCACCUCCGGGCGCCGGGGACUCGGAACGCCGGGUCGGAGCUCGGCAGGCGGAGAAAUGUAAGCUCCAUGAGGUCAUGGAUUGUGUAUUUUGUUCACUGCUGUAUUCCCUGAGCCUGGAACAGUGCCUGACACAUAGUAGAUGCGCAGUAAAUAUUUGGUGAAUGAAUGAACAAACGCUAAUACAUCAAAGAGACAACAUCAAAGAACAGACUCCACAGGGCAGUUUACAUCUUCAUUGUUUGGCCCGACCCUUCUUGUUUGAGGGUGGAUUUUCAAAAUUACUGCUGAAGGCAAUUGGGAGCCUUGAAAGCUUUUAAAGGGAACAGACAUUGAUGCAGUUUCCUUCCUGGAGAGGGUACACACUCAGAUCAUGAGACCUAAGAUAAAACACACACUGGAUUGUCAAGAAUCAAACAAGGACUACCAAUGGGAUCUAAUUAAACUAAAGAGCUUCUGCACAGCAAAAGAAACUACCAUCAGGGUGAACAGGCAACCUACAAAAUGGGAGAAAAUUUUCGCAACCUACUCAUCUGACGAAGGGCUAAUAUCCAGAAUCUACAAUGACCUCAAAUAAAUUUACAAGAAAAAACAACCCCAUCAAAAAGUGGGCUAAGGACAUGAACAGACACUUCUCAAAAGAAGACAUUUAUGCAGCCAAAAAACACAUGAAAAAAUGCUCAUCAUCCCUGGCCAUCAGAGAAAUGCAAAUCAAAACCACAAUGAGAUACCA
rnacentral:lncRNA from 10 species